GCAUGCGGCACUAAACACACACUCCUCCGGCGGUGCGAGCCACCAAUUUGGGUAGUCUUGUUUUUUUUUUUGUUUUUUUUUUCUUGUUUUGUUUUGUUUUUUUGAUCCACUGGUGUCGGAGCUGCAGUGUGCGAAGAUGAUAAGGGAUGAGGAUGCUGCUCGCUUAGCUGGACGCCGGGAGAACUAGAAGAAGAAGAGGAGGAGAGGAGGAGGUCGUAUGCAUGGAGGAGUAGGGGGUUGCGGGUAGGGGGGUGUGUUUCUUUUUUCCUUUUCCACCAAUUUCUUGGACUAGACAUGAACAGCGUGGAUCCAGCGUCCAGUAAACUGUUGACUUUCAAUCAGCGCUCGGCCUCGGAGGACCUGGGCUGCCGGCGUGGAGACUUCAGUAGGAAGCACUAUGGAUCUGUGGAGCUGCUGAUAUCCAGCG